AUAGUUAAGAUUAUGCAUUUUGUAAUUCUUUUAGUGAAAGUUUGGGUAAUAAUAAUCAUUUGGUACAGAGUUUACCUUACUUUGUUAUAUAGCUAGCAGAUCUGACAUUACUGUGUAUGGAAGUUGAUUAAUAUUUAUAUUUGCUUUAUUAAGAAUAACUUUCUAAUCGAUUAAUGUUAUUAAUAAUAUGUAUGACAUUCUCCGCACAUUGUAACACAUCUAUGCAGUACUCCAGUUGGAUGCUUUAUCCAGUUUGAAUUUAACACUGGGUAUGUCUGCCCAGGGUGAACUUUCACUUUAGUUUCUAACAUUCUCUGUCAGUGAUCAGAUUAAUGUAAGCACCACUACGUUUUUUGUUUUGAGUCUUUACAUAUACAUUUACUGUUUGAAAAUCUUCUAAAUAUAUAACUUUUUGCUUUGGUCGUGUUUUUAUUUCAGAUGUUUAAUUCUCAACAAAAGUCAAUGCAGUGCUGCUAUUGUAAAUUUUCCCUGCAACAGGAUCAGCCAAUGUUAUCCACAAUUAAACAACGAUGGGCAGGGCUUUUUGUUGAAGAACAGGUUUAUGCAGAAUUUCUAUGCAUAACCUGCGUUGAUCAUUAAGUUAGCACUCCUAACAUCACUGGACAGUUUCUGCUGUGGGCUUGCUUAUGAUGUACAGAGCUCAAGAGGAAAUGGAGAAUCUAGUAGAUAAACAGGAUAUACAGACCACAGACUUAACAGCACACAGGAGAGACACUGUUCUUCUGAGUCUUCCCUUCUACCUAAGAGAGAUGGCCUCAAUUUCAAAAACAUCCUGAAUUCUGCAAGGAACAUUACGAUGGGAAUUUUAGAGUUGGUCAGGAAUGGCUUCCCUUCAAGAUUGCUGUCCAGUGCAGUAAAUGUUGUAAUUGUCCUUGCAGAGGAUGUGGUUAUGGAGAACUUGGGAAACUUUACAAAUGCCUUUACAAUCCAGUUUGACCCACUUUAUGAUUUUAAUAUGAACUAUCGCAAGAACUUUAAAUACACAUUUCUGGUGGUCCAGAAAGUGUUCCAGUACCUUGGAAAUGACUACACUGCUAGAGUGCAAUCUCUAAAAAACAAACUAUUUGCAAUAUAAUACGAAUUUCUGUGUAAUUUCUUCCAGUUAAUUUUUGUCAGUUUGAGCACCUGCUUUUGAAGAGAAAAAUAAAAGUCUUUGAUCACUGUUUUAAAAAAUUUUAGUUAAGUGGACUUGACUGUUAAAUGGUCUGUUGUCUUAUUUGAUUUAUUCGUUUUCUAAAUAAGUCUCUAAAUCUGGAUUCCGUUACCAUUCUACUGCUCUUACAUAAAGCAUUCUUUCUGUGUAGCUUAAAUGCACAGUAAUAUUGCAGCUGCAAAGUUAUAAAUGUUGUUAAUAAUUUAAA